GAUUUUAAUUCUGCAGAACUUCUCCAUGUCCACCUAUAAAUUCUGUGAGAGGGUAGGAAGAGGCAACAUCUUGGCCUUUGGGAUAAAUGAGGGGAUUGUUUGCAGGACUGUUCUAAUGUCUCUUCCCCAGCCUUGGUCAGGCCUGCUGACUGCAUGUUCUGUUCUUUGGAUCCUGACCCAGACUGCAUGUGUCCCAAGUGUGAUAGAGUAAGUUGGGGGAGAAAGGCAUGGAAAACGUGAUUAGGAGCAACAUGCAGCUUUUACGGUAGCUUAGGGUUGAGUCCUAAGAAACUUUGGCAGUCAUGGGAAGGCAGAUUAUUGAAGAGGAUGCCUAUGGAAUUUGAGCCUACGGGUUAUAUCAGUGUAGCACCUAGGAAUUCAGCAGGAAUCAGGCUCAGCCAUUGCAAAGCUAUUUGCCUGACGAUGAUGCUAUUUAAUGACAUUUGUUUUUGUUUCUUUUUGUUUGUCUCUUCUCAUUAUUGUUCCCUUUCUCCUGUUUCAACCCACUUUUCUUCCUCCAUAAACCUACUUUCCUUCUUUUCUUCUUCUACCUGUUCCCGUUUCCUAAUCCUGGCCCCUCUCUUACCCUGUCCUGAUGAUUUACUCAACUUUCAUUACUCAUUCCUCUUCCCCCACCCCACCCCUCAUUUUCCCUGCUAUCUGUUUCUUUCUCUUCAUUUUUCUGCCUAUUUUUGCCUUCUCAACAUUUUCCCUCUUCUUCU
rnacentral:lncRNA from 1 species